AUAUAAAAAUACAUAACUUUACAAUUGUCGAAUGUUACCCAUUCGUAUCACAUAUCCCCAGAUAGCCUGGAUCUGAGUGCAUAUUAUUGGCGAAUAGCGCUCAGAUCCCAUACGCAUAGUUCAAUCGCCAUGGAGUCAAAGUCUAUUACAGUCUUUCGGCAUGCGAUUGACUCCAUGGGAAGGCUAUCUGGGGUAAGUCCAUUCGUGCUUUUAAACC